AAAUUGAAGAGUUUGAUCAUGGCUCAGAUUGAACGCUGGCGGCAGGCCUAACACAUGCAAGUCGAACGGUAACAGGAAGCAGCUUGCUGCUUCGCUGACGAGUGGCGGACGGGUGAGUAAUGUCUGGGAAACUGCCUGAUGGAGGGGGAUAACUACUGGAAACGGUAGCUAAUACCGCAUAACGUCGCAAGACCAAAGAGGGGGACCUUCGGGCCUCUUGCCAUCAGAUGUGCCCAGAUGGGAUUAGCUAGUUGGUGGGGUAACGGCUCACCAAGGCGACGAUCCCUAGCUGGUCUGAGAGGAUGACCAGCCACACUGGAACUGAGACACGGUCCAGACUCCUACGGGAGGCAGCAGUGGGGAAUAUUGCACAAUGGGCGCAAGCCUGAUGCAGCCAUGCCGCGUGUAUGAAGAAGGCCUUCGGGUUGUAAAGUACUUUCAGCGGGGAGGAAGGUGUUGUGGUUAAUAACCACAGCAAUUGACGUUACCCGCAGAAGAAGCACCGGCUAACUCCGUGCCAGCAGCCGCGGUAAUACGGAGGGUGCAAGCGUUAAUCGGAAUUACUGGGCGUAAAGCGCACGCAGGCGGUCUGUUAAGUCAGAUGUGAAAUCCCCGGGCUCAACCUGGGAACUGCAUCUGAUACUGGCAGGCUUGAGUCUCGUAGAGGGGGGUAGAAUUCCAGGUGUAGCGGUGAAAUGCGUAGAGAUCUGGAGGAAUACCGGUGGCGAAGGCGGCCCCCUGGACGAAGACUGACGCUCAGGUGCGAAAGCGUGGGGAGCAAACAGGAUUAGAUACCCUGGUAGUCCACGCCGUAAACGAUGUCGACUUGGAGGUUGUGCCCUUGAGGCGUGGCUUCCGGAGCUAACGCGUUAAGUCGACCGCCUGGGGAGUACGGCCGCAAGGUUAAAACUCAAAUGAAUUGACGGGGGCCCGCACAAGCGGUGGAGCAUGUGGUUUAAUUCGAUGCAACGCGAAGAACCUUACCUGGUCUUGACAUCCACGGAAGUUUUCAGAGAUGAGAAUGUGCCUUCGGGAACCGUGAGACAGGUGCUGCAUGGCUGUCGUCAGCUCGUGUUGUGAAAUGUUGGGUUAAGUCCCGCAACGAGCGCAACCCUUAUCCUUUGUUGCCAGCGGUCCGGCCGGGAACUCAAAGGAGACUGCCAGUGAUAAACUGGAGGAAGGUGGGGAUGACGUCAAGUCAUCAUGGCCCUUACGACCAGGGCUACACACGUGCUACAAUGGCAUAUACAAAGAGAAGCGACCUCGCGAGAGCAAGCGGACCUCAUAAAGUAUGUCGUAGUCCGGAUUGGAGUCUGCAACUCGACUCCAUGAAGUCGGAAUCGCUAGUAAUCGUGGAUCAGAAUGCCACGGUGAAUACGUUCCCGGGCCUUGUACACACCGCCCGUCACACCAUGGGAGUGGGUUGCAAAAGAAGUAGGUAGCUUAACCUCCGGGAGGGCGCUUACCACUUUGUGAUUCAUGACUGGGGUGAAGUCGUAACAAGGUAACCGUAGGGGAACCUGCGGUUGGAUCACCUCCUUACCUUAAAGAA
rnacentral:rRNA from 1 species